UCCCAAUCGGUUGACAUACCGGACCGCCGAUAAAUUCGAAGGGUCCAAUUGCCAAUCGCUGCCAUCCGAUAGGUAGCGCGAGUUCCAAUCCGCCUGGACGUUGUUAAGUCCCGGUAGGUACUCCGCCUGGACCAUGAUGUCCCUGGCUAGGCAAAAUGUCCAAAAGUCUUUGGCCAGACGAGCCAACGUCGCUGAGCGAGUACCCC